ACACGUGUUAUCUUGACUGAACAUGGGGGGACCAUCCUCCAAGGCUAAAUACUACCAACUGACCGAUAGUGAACUAGUACCGUGAGGGAAAGGUUAAAAGAACCCCGGAGAGGGGAGUGAAAUAGAUCCUGAAACCGUAUGCGUACAAGCAGUAGGAGCAGACUUGUUCUGUGACUGCGUACCUUUUGUAUAAUGGGUCAGCGACUUAUUUUCAGUGGCAAGGUUAACCGUUUAGGGGAGCCGUAGGGAAACCGAGUCUUAAUAGGGCGUCUUAGUCGCUGGGAAUAGACCCGAAACCGGGCGAUCUAUCCAUGGCCAGGUUGAAGGUUGAGUAACAUCAACUGGAGGACCGAACCCACUAAUGUUGAAAAAUUAGGGGAUGAGCUGUGGAUCGGAGUGAAAGGCUAAUCAAGCCCGGAGAUAGCUGGUUCUCCUCGAAAGCUAUUUAGGUAGCGCCUCAUGUCUCACCACUGGGGGUAGAGCACUGUUUCGGCUAGGGGGUCAUACCGACUUACCAACCCGAUGCAAACUCCGAAUACCGGUGAGUGCAAUCAUGGGAGACACACGGCGGGUGCUAACGUUCGUCGUGGAGAGGGAAACAACCCAGACCGCCAGCUAAGGUCCCAAAUAUCAGUUAAGUGGGAAACGAUGUGGGAAGGCUCAGACAGCUAGGAGGUUGGCUUAGAAGCAGCCAUCCUUUAAAGAAAGCGUAAUAGCUCACUAGUCGAGUCGGCCUGCGCGGAAGAUUUAACGGGGCUAAACUGAUAACCGAAGCUGCGGAUGCAUGCUUGCAUGCAUGGUAGAGGAGCGUUCUGUAAGCCGUUGAAGGUAAACCGGGAGGUUUGCUGGAGGUAUCAGAAGUGCGAAUGCUGACAUGAGUAACGAUAAGGGGGGUGAAAAACCCCCCCGCCGAAAGAUCAAGGUUUCCUGUCCAACGUUAAUCGGGACAGGGUGAGUCGGCACCUAAGGCGAGGGCGAAGGCCGUAGUCGAUGGAAAAUCGGUUAAAAUUCCGAUACCGAUUCUUACUGCGAUGGAGGGACGGAGCAGGCUAGGCUAGCACGGCGUUGGUAGUCCGUGUUUAAGCGUGUAGGUAGGGGGAUUAGGUAAAUCCGGUUCCUCGUUAAUCUGAGACGUGAUGACGAUCUCUUGGGGCGACCCUUGAGAGAAGUAGUUGAUGCCAUACUUCCAGGAAAAUCUUCUAAGCUUCAGGUAAGAAUUGACCGUACUGUAAACCGACACAGGUGAUCAGGUAGAGAAUACCAAGGCGCUUGAGAGAACUUGGGUGAAGGAACUAGGCAAAAUGGUACCGUAACUUCGGGAGAAGGUACGCUCUCUUUGGUGAUGGGACUUGCUCCCUAAGCUGAGGAGAGUCGAAGUGACCAGGUGGCUGCAACUGUUUAUUAAAAACAUAGCACUCUGCAAACUCGUGAGAGGAAGUAUAGGGUGUGACGCCUGCCCGGUGCCGGAAGGUUAAUUGAUGGGGUUAUCUUCGGAGAAGCUCUUGAUCGAAGCCCCGGUAAACGGCGGCCGUAACUAUAACGGUCCUAAGGUAGCGAAAUUCCUUGUCGGGUAAGUUCCGACCUGCACGAAUGGCGUAACGAUGGCCACACUGUCUCCACCCGAGACUCAGUGAAAUUGAAAUCGCUGUUAAGAUGCAGUGUACCCGCGGCUAGACGGAAAGACCCCGUGAACCUUUACUAUAGCUUCACACUGGACUUUGAC
rnacentral:rRNA from 1 species